ACCACUCUUUCCUAGAAGGGUGAGGGAUUUCCCUCUUUGCCCUUCAGAGGGAUUCUUCCCUCCCUCUCCUUUCUCUCUUUGGCCUUUCCACAGUGUAACCCUAGUACUCCUCAGACUACUGAAGUUCUGGCCGGGUCAUCUCCCUCAUGUGGUCCAAAGUCUGAGGCAACAGGUCAGACUGCCCAGGCGUGUGAGGGCAAAGGACUGCUUUCCCCUCCUCUGACACUCCAUCUGUAACUUGUCUAGGGUGAGUCUGCACACUCUACGGACCCAGUUGGGACACUUUCAUGAUACUGGCUGACUCUCAACUGCUGUGUUUCUUUCGCCACGCCCCCCACUUUUCCUUCGUUCCUGGAGAUCCAGCUGCCAUCUUGAUCUAUAGGCAAAACACAUUCUGACGUGUCUGAAUGGCCUUUGAUUACUUAAGACAGUUAAAACCUCUCAAUGUUAAAGGAGCUACGUUUUGGAAAGAAUUGUGUGGCUUCCUGGAGAAUCUCUUACUGCCACCUUCAUUAUGUGUCUCAUCACACCUUCUCUAAGAAAUACCUUCCUCUUCAAGAAACGCAGGCAGAGGCAGAGUGCUUACUGUCGAAUGAAGUAUGCUCCCACACAGGUGGCUAGGGGCAACUAACUCAGGUCUGGUGAUGGUGGAAGGAUUGGAUGCAGCUGGGGCUGACCACUUGCUAUAUAUAUGCCAUGGCCCAUGCUUCCGUGGAAGAACUGCACGAACUUCCAGGCCACCUA